AGAGUUUGAUCCUGGCUCAGAGCGAACGCUGGCGGCAGGCCUAACACAUGCAAGUCGAGCGCCCCGCAAGGGGAGCGGCAGACGGGAGAGUAACACGUGGGAACGUACCCUUCAGUUCGGAACAACCCAGGGAAACUUGGGCUAAUGCCGGAUACGUCCGUAAGGAGAAAGAUUUAUCGCUGAAGGAUCGGCCCGCGUCUGAUUAGCUUGUUGGUGAGGUAACGGCUCACCAAGGCUACGAUCAGUAGCUGGUCUGAGAGGAUGAUCAGCCUCACUGGGACUGAGACACGGCCCAGACUCCUACGGGAGGCAGCAGUGGGGAAUAUUGGACAAUGGGCGCAAGCCUGAUCCAGCCAUGCCGCGUGGAUGAUGAAGGCCCUAGGGUUGUAAAGUCCUUC
rnacentral:rRNA from 1 species